rnacentral:rRNA from 1 species
AACCGAAUUAAUGCUGAGCUUGCUUAGCAUUAAUUAGUGGCAAACGGGUGAGUAACACGUGGGAAACUGCCGACGAGUACGGAAUAACAUUUAGAAAUAAGUGCUAAUACAGUGUUCGGUCUACAAGGAGGAAAGAUUAAUCGCUGAUGGAUAAGCUCGCGGCAGAUUAGGAAGUUAGUAAGGUAAUGGCUUACCAAGCCUGUGAUCUGUAGCU